CGAACGGAACCUUCGGGUUUAGUGGCGGACGGGUGAGUAACGCGUGAGAAUCUGCCUCUAGGUCGGGGACAACAACUGGAAACGGUUGCUAAUACCCGAUGUGCAGCAAUGUGAAAGAUUUAUUGCCUAGAGAUGAGCUCGCGUCUGAUUAGCUAGUAGGUGUGGUAAUGGCGCACCUAGGCGACGAUCAGUAACUGGUCUGAGAGGAUGACCAGUCACACUGGGACUGAGACACGGCCCAGACUCCUACGGGAGGCAGCAGUGGGGAAUUUUCCGCAAUGGGCGAAAGCCUGACGGAGCAAUACCGCGUGAGGGACGAAGGCUUUUGGGUCGUAAACCUCUUUUCCCUGAGAAGAAGAUCUGACGGUAUCAGGGGAAUCAGCAUCGGCUAACUUCGUGCCAGCAGCCGCGGUAAUACGAGGGAUGCAAGCGUUAUCCGGAAUUAUUGGGCGUAAAGCGUCCGCAGGUGGCUCUGUUAGUCUGUCGUUAAAGAAUGGGGCUCAACCCCAUACAGGCGAUGGAAACUACAAGGCUAGAGUUUGGUAGGGGUCACGGGAAUUCUUAGUGUAGCGGUGAAAUGCGUAGAUAUUAAGAAGAACACCAGCGGCGAAAGCGCGUGACUGGGCCAGUACUGACACUCAUGGACGAAAGCUAGGGGAGCGAAAGGGAUUAGAUACCCCUGUAGUCCUAGCCGUAAACGAUGAUAACUAGGUGUUGCCCGUAUCGACCCGAGCCGUGCCGAA
rnacentral:rRNA from 1 species